rnacentral:rRNA from 1 species
UGGGGGAUAUUGCACAAUGGGCGAAAGCCUGAUGCAGCGACGCCGCGUGGGGGAUGAAGGCCUUCGGGUUGUAAACUUCUUUUGCUCUGAACAAGGCAUGCUAAUGGGUGUGUUGAGUGUAGGGGUUGAUUAGCGCCGGCUAACUACGUGCCAGCAGCCGCGGUAAUACGUAGGGCGCGAGCGUUGUCCGGAAUUAUUGGGCGUAAAGGGCUUGUAGGUGGCUGGUUGCGUCUGUCGUGAAAGCUCAUGGCUUAACUGGGGGUUUGCGGUGGGUACGGGCUGGCUAGAGUGCAGUAGGGGAGGCUGGAAUUCCUGGUGUAGCGGUGGAAUGCGCAGAUAUCAGGAGGAAUACCGGUGGCGAAGGCGGGUCUCUGGGCUGUUACUGACGCUGAGGAGCGAAAGCAUGGGGAGCGAACAGG